GGCUAGGGCGUAGUGGUGUGAGCGUUGGACUAGGACUCUGGAGAUCAGGGUUCAAAUCCCUGCUUGGCCA